GAUCACCAAAUCAGUUGAUUUUUGAUCAAUUUUGACCUGAUUUGACUCGGGUUUGAUCCAAUUGAGUCUUCUUUCUUCAUUCUUCAAUUCCUGGGUCAAUUUAACUCCGUUUUGCUUAAAAUUUGUGCCGUUGGAAUCCUCUUUCCUUGUUCUUUCUAUUGAUGACCUCUUCUUCUGCAAAAUAUAAUAACAAGUAUCAAUUUUCUAAUAAAGUUAGAUAAUUUAGAU
rnacentral:lncRNA from 1 species